rnacentral:rRNA from 1 species
GACGAACGCUGGCGGCGUGCUUAACACAUGCAAGUCGAACGAAGUGGCGAACGGGUGAGUAACGCGUAAUCAACCUGCCCUUCAGAGGGGGACAACAGUUGGAAACGACUGCUAAUACCGCAUACUGAAGGAGGGGAUUGCGUCUGAUUGGGUAGUUGGGGAGGUAACGGCUCACCAAGGCGAUGAUGGGUAUCCGGCCUGAGUGGGUGUUCGGCACCAAGGGGACUGAGACACGGCCCUUACUCCUACGGGAGGCAGCAGUGGGGAAUAUUGGACAAUAGACCAAAGUCUGAUCCAGCAAUUCGGUGGGAACGAUGAAGUUUUUCGGAAUGUAAAGUGCUUUCAGUUGGGAAGCGGUACCAACAGAAGAAGUGACGGCUAAAUACGUGCCAGCAGCCGCGGUAAUAC